CUGACGUACCCUCCCCCUCUCCUCCGGGGGCUCGAAGGCCUGGCGCGAGACGCCCGCUCCAAAAGGGCACGAGACUGAGGUCGGUCCCCGCGGGCGCCCGGGGCUCUCCAAGCUGAGAGGGCUGGGCGGAGGUCCCCACUGAGGGGCGACCCAGGGCGGCGCUCGGUCACCCAAGAUGCCCACGUACCAGAUCCGCCGCUCACACCGCCCAGCGUGUAGCCAGUCUGAGGCGCGCUUCCGGGUGGGACACGUGACCCAGCCACAUGACCCGGGCCUGUUUUGUGGGUUCGAGCCCCGCCCCGUUGUGCAUUGCUCUCACUUGGCAUUGCUUUUGCCCUUCAGGCUCCUACUCUUGCUGGUCACCCGCCUGGAGGCCAUUGAUCAUCGCUAGUGUUUUUCAUCAC
rnacentral:lncRNA from 1 species